rnacentral:hammerhead_ribozyme from 1 species
ACACAACUGAGGAGUCCCAUAAUAGGACGAAACGGUUGUCCAGUAC